rnacentral:tRNA from 1 species
GCGCUCAUAGCUCAGCUGGAUAGAGUGCUUGACUACGAAUCAAGAGGUCCUGGGUUCGAAUCCCCGUGGGCGCACCA